rnacentral:rRNA from 1 species
AUUGAACGCUGGCGGCAGGCCUAACACAUGCAAGUCGAGCGGAUGAAGGGAGCUUGCUCCUGGAUUCAGCGGCGGGCGGGUGAGUAAUGCCUAGGAAUCUGCCUGGUAGUGGGGGAUAACGUCCGGAAACGGGCGCUAAUACCGCAUACGUCCUGAGGGAGAAAGUGGGGGAUCUUCGGACCUCACGCUAUCAGAUGAGCCUAGGUCGGAUUAGCUAGUUGGUGGGGUAUAGGCCUACCAAGGCGACGAUCCGUAACUGGUCUGAGAGGAUGAUCAGUCACACUGGAACUGAGACACGGUCCAGACUCCUACGGGAGGCAGCAGUGGGGAAUAUUGGACAAUGGGCGAAAGCCUGAUCCAGCCAUGCCGCGUGUGUGAAGAAGGUCUUCGGAUUGUAAAGCACUUUAAGUUGGGAGGAAGGGCAGUAAGUUAAUACCUUGCUGUUUUGACGUUACCAACAGAAUAAGCACCGGCUAACUUCGUG